rnacentral:rRNA from 1 species
GGGGUCAGUAGGUUGGUCGUGCCACCGGUACGUACUGGUCUCACUGAUUCCUCCUUCCUGAAGAGCCGUAAUGCCAUUAAUUUGGUGUUGCGGGGAAACAGGACUGUUACUUUGAAAAAAUUAGAGUGUUUAAAGCAAGCUAACGCUUGAACACAUUAGCAUGGAAUAAUGAAAUAGGACGAUCGAUCCUAUUUUGUUGGUUUCUAGGAUUGACGUA